CACUCCUACGGGAGGCAGCAGUGGGGAAUUUUGGACAAUGGGCGAAAGCCUGAUCCAGCAAUGCCGCGUGAGUGAAGAAGGCCUUCGGGUUGUAAAGCUCUUUUGUCAGGGAAGAAACGGUGAAAGCUAAUAUCUUUUGCUAAUGACGGUACCUGAAGAAUAAGCACCGGCUAACUACGUGCCAGAAGCCGCGGUAAUACGUAGGGUGCAAGCGUUAAUCGGAAUUACUGGGCGUAAAGCGUGCGCAGGCGGUAUUGUAAGUCUGAUGUGAAAUCCCCGGGCUCAACCUGGGAAUUGCAUUGGAGACUGCAAGGCUAGAAUCUGGCAGAGGGGGGUAGAAUUCCACGUGUAGCAGUGAAAUGCGUAGAUAUGUGGAGGAACACCGAUGGCGAAGGCAGCCCCCUGGGUCAAGAUUGACGCUCAUGCACGAAAGCGUGGGGAGCAAACAGGAUUAGAAACCCGUGUAGUCCCA
rnacentral:rRNA from 1 species